AGCCCAGGUGGCUGCGCAUCGAUUUCUUUCGAUGUGAGGAAAGUCCGGGCUCCAUAGGGCAAGGGUGCCGGAUAACGUCCGGCGCAGGCAACUGUAGGGAAAGUGCAACAGAAACACACCGCCGAAACGGGUCAUGCCGUGGCAAGGGUGAAAUGGCGAGGUAAGAGCUCACCGGCGCCGUGGAGACACGGCGGCCGUGUAAACCCCACCCGGAGCAAGACCAAGCAGGGAACCAAGUCUGUAGCCCGCAGGCUCCCGGAAGGUAGGUCGCUGGAGGCGGCUGGCAACAGUCGUUCGAGAUAGAUGGUCACCGAAUACAGAACCCGGCUUACAGAGCUGCCC
rnacentral:RNase_P_RNA from 1 species